UACGAAGGGGGCUAGCGUUGCUCGGAAUCACUGGGCGUAAAGGGUGCGUAGGCGGGUCUUUAAGUCAGGGGGUGAAAUCCUGGAGCUCAACUCCAGAACUGCCUUUGAUACUGAAGAUCUUGAGUUCGGGAGAGGUGAGUGGAACUGCGAGUGUAGAGGUGAAAUUCGUAGAUAUUCGCAAGAACACCAGUGGCGAAGGCGGCUCACUGGCCCGGUACUGACGCUGAGGUGCGAAAGCGUGGGG
rnacentral:rRNA from 1 species